rnacentral:lncRNA from 1 species
AUCAAUGCCUGGAAGAUGAAUCGGAACAUUUGAGGAAAGUCACCGAGGAGGUGGAAAGGUUGCGGGCAUGAAGCACCCAAGCCCUGAGAAGAGAAUCCUCUCAUUAUGGAGGCUGAUCUGAAGAAUCUAUCAGCACAAAACUAAGACAUCAUAGUGGAUUCAGAGCCAAGCAGAUCAUAUCUAAAAUGAGGACAUUCCUGGCUUACAACAGACUCUCCUGCCAGAUGGACAAUGCACAAGGCAUUUGAAAUAUUUUCUUUCACAAAACAAAUAAACAAAAAUCAACCAGGGUUUUAUCAUCCUACCUACAAUGAAUGCAAAAAAGUCUGGUUAAACAGCUCAGAUUUAUGGUGGAGCUCCUGAGGCCUCUCCCAGUUAAAUAUUCUUUGCUUGUUUUGUGGAUUCCAGGAAAUCCACACCCUGAUCAACUGGAACAUUCAAGCCACAUCAAGAUGGAUGGGCUUUUGAGAAUGACCAAGAAAAUAGUCUCUGAUCACUUGAUUCUUAUAUUCAUCAAAGGAUGUUUGCUUUCAGAAGAAUUAUUAUGUUUCCAGCUUGCUUGCCUUGGGGAAUGUCAAUUAAGUCCAAAUUAUUUGAUGACAGAGAUUUUGCCAUUUUUAGAGACCGGGUCAUCUGGUUGUCAUCGUGAUUAA